rnacentral:piRNA from 2 species
UGGGAACUUGGUUGUGAGGUGCUCUGGCU